GUAUGGUCUAAGCGAACGGUGCUUUCC
rnacentral:piRNA from 1 species